rnacentral:rRNA from 1 species
UACGUAGGGGGCUAGCGUUGUCCGGAAUCACUGGGCGUAAAGCGCACGUAGGCGGGUUCUUAAGUCGGUGGUGAAAUCCUGGAGCUCAACUCCAGAACUGCCUCCGAUACUGAGAGCCUCGAGUCCGGGAGAGGUGAGUGGAACUGCGAGUGUAGAGGUGAAAUUCGUAGAUAUUCGCAAGAACACCGGUGGCGAAGGCGGCCACCCUGGACGGCAACUGACGGCUGAGACGCGAAAGCGUGGGGAGCAAACAGG